GUAUGAGAUUUAGUGGUUAGGACUCUUGGUUUUUACCCAGGUGGUCCAGGUUUGAUUCCUGGCAUAC
rnacentral:tRNA from 1 species